GAUUAUAAUUUAAGGUUUAAUCUGCUCAAUGAUUAUUUAAAUUGCCGCAGUAUUUUGACUGUGCAAAGGUAGCAUAAUAAUUAGUUUCUUUAUUGGGAACUGGAAUGAAUGAUUGGACGAGAAAAUUUCUGUCUCUUUAUUAUUUUAAUUGAAUUUUACUUUUAAGUUAAAAGGCUUAAAUUUUAUUAGAGGACGAGAAGACCCUAUAGAGUUUAAUUUUUAUUUAAAUAAUUAUUUUUAGUAUCUAUAUAUAUUAUUUAAAUAAAAAUUUAGUUGGGGUGACUAAAAGAUAAGAAUAACUCUUUUAAUUUUUAUCAAUUAUUUUUGAUUAUAAAAUCUUUAUUUUUAAUUUUAAAAUAAAUUACCUUAGGGAUAACAGCGUAAUUCUUUUUUAAAGUUCUUAUUAAAAGAAGAGUUUGCGACCUCGAUGUUGGAUUAAAAUUAAUUUUAGGUGUAGAAGCUUGAAAAUUAAGUCUGUUCGACUUUUAAAAUUUUACAUGAUCUGAGUUUAAACCGGUGUGAGCCAGGUUGGUUUCUAUCCUUAAUUAUAUAUUAUACUU
rnacentral:rRNA from 1 species